AUUGAACGCUGGCGGCAUGCCUUACACAUGCAAGUCGAACGGCAGCACGGGAGCAAUCCUGGUGGCGAGUGGCGAACGGGUGAGUAAUAUAUCGGAACGUGCCCAGUCGUGGGGAUAACGUAGCGAAAGCUACGCUAAUACCGCAUACGAUCUAUGGAUGAAAGCGGGGGAUCGCAAGACCUCGCGCGAUUGGAGCGGCCGAUAUCAGAUUAGGUAGUUGGUGAGGUAAAGGCUCACCAAGCCGACGAUCUGUAGCUGGUCUGAGAGGACGACCAGCCACACUGGGACUGAGACACGGCCCAGACUCCUACGGAGGCAGCAGUGGGGAAUUUUGGACAAUGGGCGCAAGCCUGAUCCAGCAAUGCGCGUGCAGGAUGAAGG
rnacentral:rRNA from 1 species